CAACCCUGUGUGGCCACAUUCUGCGUAAUCUUUUUCCAAGCAACAGUAUUGGAAAUGGCAUUUUGGCUUCAAUGCAUUUUCUUUUUUGCAGUAUUCAAAGGUGUCCAGUCAGAAAUCCAGCUCACGGAAUCUGGAGGGGAUGUCAAAAGGCCUGGAGAGUCCCUCCGCCUCUCCUGCCAAGCCUCUGGGUUCACCUUCAGCAGCUAUGCAAUGAACUGGGUGAGACAAGCUCCUGGAAAGGGCCUGGAAUGGGUGGCCUUUAUACAUACACAAUCAUCUCCCAUUUACUACUCGGAUUCAGUGAAGGGGCGAUUCACCAUCUCUAGGGAUGAUUCAAGCAGCCAGCUCUACUUGCAAAUGAACAACCUGAAACCAGAGGACACCGCUGUGUACUACUGUGUGAGAGACACAGUGAGAGGAACUGAAUCUAUGCUUCAACAAAAACUUUCCCAUGCAGCUUUAUUAGAAUGUCAUUCCUGUUCAUGGUGA